rnacentral:rRNA from 1 species
AUUGAACGCUGGCGGCAGGCCUAACACAUGCAAGUCGAACGAGUGGCGGACGGGUGAGUAAUUUCUGGGAAACUGCCCGAUGGAGGGGUCUAACUACUGGAAACGGUAGCUAAUACCGCAUACCAUCGGAUGUGCCCAGAUGGGAUUAGCUAGUAGGUGGGGUAACGGCUAACCUAGGCGACGAUCCCCAGCUGGUCUGAGAGGAUGACCAGCCACACUGGAACUGAGACACGGUCCAGACUCCUACGGGAGGCAGCAGAGGGGAAUAUUGCACAAUGGGCGCAAGCCUGAUGCAGCAAUGCCGCGUGUAUGAAGAAGGCCUUCGGGUUGUAAAGUACUUUCAGCGAGGAGGCGUUACUCGCAGAAGAAGCACCGGCUAACUCCGUGCCAGCAGCCGCGGUAAUAC